rnacentral:tRNA from 1 species
UGGGGCGUCGCCAAGUUGGUAAGGCACCAGCCUUUGGAGCUGGCAUUCGUAGGUUCGAGUCCUACCGCCCCAG